UAGCAACCGGGCAACAUCUGCUCCCGCUGGACCAAUCCGUGCCGGGCACAUCUGGGCGCCCACCUCCGCGUGCUGCAGCCGGGCGGUGAUGCGCUCCUCAGUGGCUGCAGGGACCCGCAGGAGCUGCCACCAGUGCCACCACCUCCAGAGGCAGCCAACAGCUCGGAGCGGCCGGGGAAGGACGAAGGACGGGAGCAGCUCCCCCUCCAGAGCCGGGGAUCGCCGGGUGACGUUCUGCAGGGCUGUGCUGCCAGCAAUGCUCGCUGAGCCCGUGCGAGGAGAUCUCACCGGGACUGCUGGCGUCAUCCCAGAGAGACCCUUUGCAGACUGACUCCACAUCCUCAGAGCUGAUCUGAUAGGGGCCUAUCAAAUCCAUUAACGACGUCGAAAGUAGCUUACUUUAAGAGAAAAUAUGCAGAAGAAGAACAUCUACAUCAAGAUUACCAUGAGUAUUGUCCAAAACACCUGAUACUCCCUGAGGACCGGACUUGUAUUCUAAAACUUUCUCUCCAGAAACUCCGAUUCCUGGAAGAUCCCGAAGCAUAUCUCCGUAGGUCGGUGUUAAUUAACAAUCUGUUGAGGAAGAUUCACCUAGAGACAGAGAGGGAGAGCUAUGAAUACUUUAAGGAGGCUCCGUGCUAUAGGACUGCUUACUCUGACUCACGAAAACGGCUGAAGUUUAUGGUACACGAGUGCUGUUCCCAGUCGCUCUAUUAUGAAGAGCUGCAUUCGUAUCGCAUUGUGCCUUAUUCUGCAGAGAACGCCGUUUAUGGGAUGGGCUACACAAGCAGCCACCUGGAGCAAAAUUCUCAAUUGCUUAUUUAUAAAAUGAAUUAAAGUAGCUGUUAGACCCACCGAUGUUUGUUUCUGAAUGCUUGAACUGCUUGCUGAGGCGUUAGGAUGAGGCACUGAUUGCAGAGACGCCCGUGGUGAGGUGGGAGCAGAGCUUGGACUCAACAGCUUGGGGUGAGUUGGGUGCUUUGGGCACCGCUCUGCAGCCCCACCAUUAACCAAUUGGCCACAAAGCACCAUGCACACGCAGGGCAGGUGUGAUGCUGAGGGCCUCACCCACGUGCAACAUGUUGUGUGGAUGCAAAGCCGUGUUGCAGUUCUCUGUGUGUAGAUACAGACACCGGGAAUCACUUUGCUGUUCAGUCGUGCCACCCUUAGCAGAAGGGGAGCCCCAGGUAGCGGAGCAGUCCGGCAGCGAGGAGCCAGGUGCCAGUUACUUACUGCGAAGGGACAGAUAGGAAGUUUCUGUAAGGAAAUGCUUUGUACAUGAAGGAGUCAGUGCCAAAGGAAUGGCCUUUGCCUGGGAUGGUCACAGACUAACUUGCUUGCUACUUCAACUCUAAUGAGAUUUGCAAGUUUAUUAUUAUUAGAAUAAUUGCAUUCACCUUUUUACUUACAUUCUCUCUUAGCUAACAUCUACUUUGCUAUUCUAGUACAGAACAGAACAGCUCACAGGACAGGUCAUUUCUUUGUCCCAUCGCUGUGCUCCCUUAGCUUUAUUCGGGUUGUUUCCCCCAUACCUUCCUGCAUGCUGACCUGCUGUUGGGCAAGGGGUUCACACUGGUGCUGGGAAAUCAUAGGUAAUAAUUGAUUUUGACAUGGAAAGGCAGAAGAACAGUGGUAACUCCUUUGGGUAGAGAGUGAAUGUACAUGACAGAUGAAGCUACUCAGUGUUGGUAAUGGUGUUUCAGGUGAAGUGAAAUUGUGGAACCAUAGAAUGGCUUGGGUUGGAAGGGACCUCAAAGAUCAUCAAGUUCCAACCCCCAUCUUGGGCAGGGCUGCUAUGUUUAGUAUUAGAUCAGAUUGCCCAGGGCCCCAUCUAACUGAAAUGCCUGAUUUUGACCCAGGAAUUAACCUUAGGUUAUGUAAAUAUAUAUUUCAUGAGCUGUGGGUUGACAUGAGAGCUGAUCAGCAAACUGGUGAUUACAGGUGGAAGGUUUUUAUAGCUGCCAAAGCUAUAUCAUGAAAAUACCAAAGAGUAAUAUAAGGGAAGAGAUGAUGCUCCAGCAAAAGCAAUGAUUGCACUGUAACCUGGGGGAAUGUGAUGAAGGAGCUGUGAUGUAUCAGUGACUGAUAUACCUGUGUCUCAGAAGCUGGGACUGCUGAACUAAAACAGCAGUGGUCCAAACCUGUCCUACUGAUGGCUGAUGCUAUUUCUUAAGUACAAAGAAAUAACAUUGCAUGGCUGGGAUGUGCUCGGUACAGGUUUAAAGGGGGAACCUCAGAGCACCUCAGCUGCAACAUUGCAGCUGCUGGGCAUGUGUUCACAGCACAGGACAAAGGAGAAAGGGCAGGAGCAGGAGGUGCAAGGAGCAACAUGAACUCCUGCCUCAGCAGUACAGGCUUAGGGGACAGAAAGCAGCAGGAAGGCACAGAUUAUUAGUGCAAAACAACAGCUUAUUUUGGGGGCAGGAUAACCUGCAAAGUGGGGAGUGUGAGCAGCACAGGCACUGUGGGAAGGCGGAGAAUAGGGCACUGCAGGCAGAGACUGUGGCAGUGCCUGUGCCCAGGAGGGCACUGGGGGCACAGUGUGUAAUGUAGGUGUUCAAUCAGUGUGAUUCUUCUGCUCUAAACUGACCUGAUUUAUGCCCUUAUUUUGCUCUUUUUUGUCUGUUUUUUGCCUGAACUCGCAGCAAUGCAGCAAAGAUGCUAGGGCUCCUGCCCCCUCUGUUCUGCUUGGUUACACUCAGAGGACAGUCCUGGCCUGAAAAACAAAUCUGAUAUCAAAUAAAAAUGGCUGCAAUGGCAUGGACGCUCCGUAGGAUUAAGGCCUUUAACCUCACCUGAAAAAGAAAGCAUGUUCCCCCCAUCACAUAAACAAUUCCCUCCUCUGCUGAACAGGGCAGGUAUGUUCCUGCUUACUGUGAGCCCCUCUGACAGAGCACUGUGCUUUCACACAGUGAUAUUUGCCAGUGAGAAGUGGCUCACAUUCAUCAUCACUCAUCCAUUAGCACUUGAUAGCCAUAAUCUACAGUGAUAAAGCAGUACAGAGGUGCAGCAGCAUCACGAGUUGCUCCAGUUUGACACUUUUUGAACAACGUACUGCUUUUAUCGCUUAGUUUCCAAGCUCCUGGGCACCAGCCAUUUCAUACAGCUUCAUGCAGUGAUUGUUCUGCUUUAGGGCUCGUAGCUGCAAUUCAGCUCUUCUGGCUCUGAUGUGUGAAUAUGUAGGUGGUCAGAUUUCAGUGAUAAGUAUAUAUGUAUAUAUAUAUAUAUAUACACACACAUAUAUAUAUGUUCCAUUAUGACUGCGGUAGGAACUCCCACACAUGGGCUAUGUUUGCACUGGAUGUAAGGAAGGUCCUUCUUUCCCUCUGACUCUGUUGCCUUGGAGAUAGUGUUCAUUAGGUGAUGCUGGGAGGCAAUGACAAACCUGCUCACAGGUAGCUGUUCUUUCCCAAUAGGGCUGGCUUAUGACAAUGCACUGUCAUCUCGGAACAGCACGUGUGACUGUAAUUAGUGUUUAAAAGAGUUUAGCUCCCUCUGUGCCACUCUCUCACCUGGCUGUGAGUGCUGGACUUGAGCUGGUGGCACUGAGCAGCAACAAGAGGCUCUGCACAGAAUCAGCUUUGCAACCCAACACCCCCAAAUUGUAGGGCUCUGCUCCACCGCACACCUUGGUUAUUGCCUGUGCCUCUCUGUGCACAUCCGUGCAAGGCUCCUUAUGUGCUCCAUGCUCAGCAUGUGCAGCGUGGGGGCUGCCCUGCCCCAGUGUGCUCCUCCAUUGCUGAAUUACUGGUGAGAAGCUACGGCAGAGCUGCCACUUGGCUUCUGGAAUAUGUUGAUAUUGCACUGUAAAUGGAACUGUUGUUUUUUGAUGAAUGUGUUGAGUAUCUGGACUAUGGUGCCUUAAAGUCCCAUCCUCAUGCAGCCUUUGUACAUGCAAACCCACAGCCCUCCUUUUAGCCUACAGCCCCAUGCACGCCAUGCAGCUCUGUGCCCACGGGGCCUUGGGAAGCACCACCCCCACCUCACAGUUUGGCACUUCCCUCCUCUCCUCUUUUCUAGACUGCUUUCCUCCCUACGGUCGGUCCCCAAACUUCUCUUUUUCCCAGUUCCUGCCAUCUCCGGGUUCUGUGCUACCCGCAAUGCCUUCAUGUGAGCUCCAACCAGUGUAAAAAAAAAGCUUUUCAAUGCCAUAUUGUGCUCUCAGCAGGGAAUCUCCACUGCAUAUAACGACUGCGGCAGGUGCCGUCGAGUAUUUCAUCUGAUAUUUGACGUGGUUAACUCGGCAGAAAAAGGAAACGCUCGCUUCUGCCGGAAUGCAUGAGCCUGCACUGUGUUACACGGCGACUGUACACCACCUCAUUGGGAUAAUGCCUAUGGAUUCUAUGAUGGAAGGUGGCUUUUUAAUGUUUAAAAUUACUCGGGACCUGACGGAAAGGUUUUUAUGAAAUUGUUUUCUAAAGUGGAUAGUAGAAAAAUGUAUAUGUAUUUUAAAUAUACAUACAACGUGCAUGUUAUUAAUAAAGGUCUAUUUCUAUUGAAUCA